AGUGAACGCUGGCGGUAGGCCUAACACAUGCAAGUCGAACGGCAGCACAGUAAGAGCUUGCUCUUACGGGUGGCGAGUGGCGGACGGGUGAGGAAUACAUCGGAAUCUACUUUUUCGUGGGGGAUAACGUAGGGAAACUUACGCUAAUACCGCAUACGACCUACGGGUGAAAGCAGGGGAUCUUCGGACCUUGCGCGAUUGAAUGAGCCGAUGUCGGAUUAGCUAGUUGGCGGGGUAAAGGCCCACCAAGGCGACGAUCCGUAGCUGGUCUGAGAGGAUGAUCAGCCACACUGGAACUGAGACACGGUCCAGACUCCUACGGGAGGCAGCAGUGGGGAAUAUUGGACAAUGGGCGCAAGCCUGAUCCAGCCAUACCGCGUGGGCGAAGAAGGCCUUCGGGUUGUAAAGCCCUCUUGUUGGGAAAGAAAAGCAGCAGGUUAAUACCCCGCUGUUCUGACGGUACCCAAAGAAUAAGCACCGGCUAACUUCGUG
rnacentral:rRNA from 1 species